GUUGAAAUGCAGUUUCUCAGACCCUGUGGUCACCCAAAGGCAUGGAGAUGGGCUGAGAGAAGCAGGCAGCCUGCAGCCCAGCCUACUCUACUUUGCCUCCUGCCCCCAUGACUUCUUUGGCUCCUUCCUGGAAAAGAUAUAAAGAACUGUGAAGAAAACUGAGAAAUGGGGCUGGAGAAGCUUCCCAGCUUCCAUAGAAGGCUCACAGACUACCAGUGCCAGGAUGAUUGGGUGUGUUCUGGCCUCUGAGGGCAGAGGGCUCGGCACACACAUGGUGCACAGACAUAGAUGCAAGCAAAACACCCGUACACAUGAAGUUACAUUUAAGUGGGGUUUAUGUGAGCAUUCAGUUCCUCAGCUCCAGCAGGGUGACACUCCUAACAUAGCAUGGCCCCACGGCGUGUGUGGGUUCACUGCACACCCCAGAGCACUUGGGCCAGCUUCCCCGCAGACAGCAGCCCUGUCCCCUGUGCUCUGGACUGGCCCGACAGUUGCCAUCUCAUCUGUCCCCUUGACAAGGACAGCAGUGGUUCUGUACAGCACCCUUUCCUGAUGCCAGGCCCGGGGAUACCAGGGAGAUAGAUGACACAGUAGAAAGGCUGCUGAGGCUGUGCCAGACGACCAGAGGAGGGACGGCCUUCAAACCCAGUGCUCGGGAGGAUUCCAUGGGGAAUCUUAAAGAGCCCUGCUCUGGCAAGUGUCUCAGCCUGGGGACAGAAUGUGGAUACUGUUCUCUGGUAAGAAAUACCUCAGGGACCACUCAGAGCUGGGACACUUGGCCCAAGUUCUUCCAAGUUGUGCCCAAGGUGUGCCAGGAGGCAUAGGCUUUUUUUGUUCUCUUAAUUAAAAUGGAAUUUGCAUAAUAUAAACUGAA
rnacentral:lncRNA from 1 species